rnacentral:rRNA from 1 species
CACGUAGGGCGCAAGCGUUGUCCGGAAUUAUUGGGCGUAAAGCGCGCGCAGGCGGUCCUUUAAGUCUGAUGUGAAAGCCCACGGCUCAACCGUGGAGGGUCAUUGGAAACUGGGGGACUUGAGUGCAGGAGAGGAGAGUGGAAUUCCACGUGUAGCGGUGAAAUGCGUAGAGAUGUGGAGGAACACCAGUGGCGAAGGCGACUCUUUGGCCUGUAACUGACGCUGAGGCGCGAAAGCGUGGGGAGCGAACAGG